rnacentral:rRNA from 1 species
GGUGAACGCUGGCGGCGCGCUUAACACAUGCAAGUCGUGCGCGAAAGGCUUGAACCGCAAGGGGAUGGCCAAGUAGAGCGGCAAACGGGUGAGUAACACGUAGCUGACCUGCCUCCGCGACGGGGAUAACCACUCGAAAGGGUGGCUAAUACCCGAUAUGCUCACACAGAUGCGUCUGUGCGAGGAAAGCUCCCGCAAGGGAGCGCGCGGAGAGGGGGCUGCGGCCUAUCAGCUUGUUGGUGGGGUAACGGCCCACCAAGGCGAUGACGGGUAGGGGGCGUGAGAGCGUGGCCCCCCACAUGGGGACUGAGACACGGCCCUGACUCCUACGGGAGGCAGCAGUGGGGAAUCUUCGGCAAUGGGCGCAAGCCUGACCGAGCGACGCCGCGUGGAGGACGAAGGCCUUCGGGUUGUAAACUCCUUUUCAGGGGGAAGAAUAAGUCCGGGAGGCAAUGCCCGGGCGAUGACGGUACCCCUGGAAGAAGCCACGGCUAACUCUGUGCCAGCAGCCGCGGUAAGACAGAGGCGGCGAGCGUUACCCGGAUUCACUGGGCGUAAAGGGUGCGUAGGCGGUCGCGCAUGUCCCCUGUGAAAUGCCCCGGCUCAACCGGUGCACGCCAGGGGAAACUGCGCGGCUGGAGGGCCGGAGAGGGAGGCGGAACUUCCAGAGUAGCGGUGAAAUGCGUAGAUACUGGAAGGUACCUCAAUAGCGAAGGCAGCCUCCUGGCCGGUUCCUGACGCUGAGGCACGAAAGCGUGGGGAGCAAACCGGAUUAGAUACCCGGGUAGUCCACGCCCUAAACGAUGCCGACUAGGUGUUGGCCUCGCACAUGCUGGGCCAGUGCCGCAGCUAACGCGGUAAGUCGGCCGCCUGGGGUGUACGGCCGCAAGGUUGAAACUCAAGGGAAUUGACGGGAGCCCGCACAAGCGGUGGAGCACGUGGUUCAAUUCGAUGGUAAGCGAAGAACCUUACCAGGGCUUGACAUGCACAUAGUAGAAGCUCGAAAGGGCGACGAGUCUCUGUAGAAAUACAGAGACAGUGUGCACAGGUGCUGCAUGGCUGUCGUCAGCUCGUGUCGUAGGACGUCGGGUUAAGUCCCAUAACGAGCGCAACCCCUACCCCCAGUUGCCACCAGGUCCGCUGGGCACUCUGGGGGAACUGCCGGUGAAUAG